ACGAACGCUGGCGGCGUGCCUAAUACAUGCAAGUUGAGCGAUGAAGAUUGGUGCUUGCACCAAUUUGAAGAGCAGCGAACGGGUGAGUAACGCGUGGGGAAUCUGCCUUUGAGCGGGGGACAACAUUUGGAAACGAAUGCUAAUACCGCAUAACAACUUUAAACAUAAGUUUUAAGUUUGAAAGAUGCAAUUGCAUCACUCAAAGAUGAUCCCGCGUUGUAUUAGCUAGUUGGUGAGGUAAAGGCUCACCAAGGCGAUGAUACAUAGCCGACCUGAGAGGGUGAUCGGCCAAAAUGGGACUGAGACACGGCCCAAACUCCUACGGGAGGCAGCAGUAGGGAAUCUUCGGCAAUGGACGAAAGUCUGACCGAGCAACGCCGCGUGAGUGAAGAAGGUUUUCGGAUCGUAAAACUCUGUUGGUAGAGAAGAACGUUGGUGAGAGUGGAAAGCUCAUCAAGUGACGGUAACUACCCAGAAAGGGACGGCUAACUACGUG
rnacentral:rRNA from 1 species